CUCAGCAGUAGAGAACUUGCCUGGUACACAUGAAGCUCUGAGUUGGAUCCCAAGUAGUGUAAAAAGUAAAAGAAACCAACCAACCAACCAACAAAAAUUGGACAGAUUCAUCGAAGGGCCUGCAAUUGUGGAAUUUUCUUCACCGUCAUCAUUCUGAAGAUUGUGUGAGCUGAAUUUAGAGGUCCAGGUUCUUGGAACAUGAAAAAUCCGUAGCUGCUGAAACCUGAGG
rnacentral:lncRNA from 1 species